AUCGCUUCUCGGCCUUUUGGCUCAGAUCAAGUGUAGUAUCUGUUCUUAUCAGUUUAAUAUCUGAUACGUCCCCCAUCGGGGACUACAUAUUAAAUGGAUUUUUCGAACAGGGAUCGGAAAUGGGGCUGCUCCGUCCGCUCCACGCAUCGACCGCGUAUUGCAGUACCUCCGGGAACGGUGCAACACUU
rnacentral:snRNA from 1 species